UUGUAGUAGGGCGGAUCCGGUCACACCUUGGAUACUUGGAGGACACGGUCUCGGACUCCAUAACGGGAGGCAGCAGUGGGGAAUCUUGCGCAAUGGGCGAAAGCCUGACGCAGCAACGCCGCGUGGGUGAAGAAGGCCUUCGGGUUGUAAAGCCCUGUUCAAGGUGGGAAACAAGUCCCUGCCAAUUAAUACGUGGUAGGGGUGAUGGUACCACUAGAGGAAGCACCGGCUAACUCCGUGCCAGCAGCCGCGGUAAUACGGAGGGUGCAAGCGUUGUUCGGAAUUAUUGGGCGUACAAGGGCAGGUAGGUGGUCUUGAAAGACUGCUGUGAAAUCCCUGGGCUUUAAACCCAGGAAGUGCGGGCAGUGACUACAGGACUAGAGUGCUGGAGGGGGGUGCGUGGAAUUCCCGGUGUAGCG
rnacentral:rRNA from 1 species